GAGUAGUCUAAAAAUUUGUAUGCGUAUGAAUACGAACUAUAUUCCCUCUGACGUCAUUUUCCCGAAAUCGCCAUCUUGGUCAGUUAUUCCGAGAAAAGGCUGAGAAGAUUUGCUAUCAAUUACGAAGUCCCAGCUAUUACGUUGAUAUUUUGGUUGCAAUCUAUUCCAUCUUGGUGUAUUGUCUUCAUACUUGGCCACAACAACCCUUCAAAUAGACCAGACUAAACUUGACCUCCAUAUAAACAUUCAAGAUGGUCGGCCUACAUGUCAGAUUUGUGAAUGUGAACGGCAGGAUAUCGAUUUUAAGGAUGCUUUAGGGUCAAUGAGAAUGAAAUCAAGAGAGAUAAAGGCUAAAGUGUGAGACUGUCAAUCUGACAAACCUUGCAGUGAAUAAAUGGUAAAAUGUUUCUUUCAGUAGCAUGGCAUUUAAGGAAGUGGUACAUGAUUAUUUAGAAGUGGUUGUAUAUGAUAUUUCUUAAUUAUUAUAUUCUAAUAGCUUUUUGUGCCCCCACGAUAGUGGCGGGCAUUUAGAUUUACCCUUGUCCGUCCGUCCUUCCGUCCGUCCGUCCUUCCGUCCGUCCUUCCGUCCGUCCUUCCGUCCGUCCGUCCGUUCACUUUUGUGUCGCACGUAACUCAAAAAGUAUUUGACCUAGAGUCAUGAAACUUUACAGGAAUGUUGAUCAGCAUGUGUAGUUGUGCACCUGGGUAUUUUCGUCUGGAUAUUUUUAGUAUUUUCAGAGUUAUUGCCCUUGACUUAGUAAAAUUUUGCAAUUUUCAACUUGUGUCGCAUGUAACUCAAAAAGUAUUUGACCUAGAGUCAUGAAACUUUACAGGAAUGUUGAUCAGCAUGUGUAGUUGUGCACCUGGGUAUUUUCGUCUGGAUAUUUUUAGUAUUUUUAGAGUUAUUGCCCUUGACUUAGUAAAAUUUGGCAAUUUUCAACUUGUGUCGCAUGUAACUCCAAAAGUAUUUGACCUACAGUCAUGAAACUUUACAGGAAUGUUGAUCAGCAUGUGUAGUUGUGCACCUGGGUAUUUUGGUCUGGAUAUUUUUAGUAUUUUCAGAGUUAUUGCCCUUGACUUAGUAAAAUUUUGCAAUUUUCAACUUGUGUCGCAUGUAACUCAAAAAGUAUUUGACCUAGAGUCAUGAAACUUUACAGGAAUGUUGAUCAGCAUGUGUAGUUGUGCACCUGGGUAUUUUGGUCUGGAUAUUUUUAGUAUUUUUAGAGUUAUUGCCCUUGACUUAGUAAAAUUUUGCAAUUUUCAACUUGUGUCGCAUGUAACUCAAAAAGUAUUUGACCUAGAGUCAUGAAACUUUACCGGAAUGUUGAUCAGCAUGUGUAGUUGUGCACCUGGGUAUUUUCGUGUGCAUAUUUUUAGUAAUUUUAGAGUUAUUGCCCUUGACUUAGUAAAAUUUUGCAAUUUUUAACUUGUGUCGCACGUAACUCAAAAAGUAUUUGACCUAGAGUCAUGAAACUUUACAGGAAUGUUGAUCAGCAUGUGUAGUUGUGCACCUGGGUAUUUUCGUCUGGAUAUUUUUAGUAUUUUCAGAGUUAUUGCCCUUGACUUAGUAAAAUUUGGCAAUUUUCAACAUGUGUCGCACAUAACUCAAAAAGUAUUUGACGUAGAGUCAUGUAACUUUACAGGAAUAUUGAUCAGCAUGUGCAGUUGUGCACCAGGUAUUUUCGUCUGGAUUUAUUUAGUAUUUUUAGAGUUAUUGCCCUUCACGUAGAAAAUUUUUGCAAUUUUCAAAUUGUGUCGCAAGUUUCUCAAAAAGGAUUUGACAUAGUCAAUAAACCUUAUGGGCAGGUUGCUCAACAUAUUUUAGAUUUGCACCUGGGGCUUGGCUUGUGGAUUUAUCCAGUAUUUGUAGAGUUAUUUCCCUUGACUUAGUAAAAAGAUUGACAGAACAGUGUAGCGGUGGGGGCACCCGUGUCCUAUGGACACAUUUCUAGUUUCUUGAC